UACAGCGACUGCGAAUGGCUCAUUAUAUAAGUUAUCGUUUAUUUGAUAGUACCUUACUACUUGGAUAACCGUGGUAAUUCUAGAGCUAAUACAUGCUAAAAAUCCCGACUUCGGAAGGGAUGUAUUUAUUAGAUUAAAAACCAAUGCCCUUUGGGCUCCUUGGUGAUUCAUAAUAACUUUUCGAAUCGCAUGGCCUUGCGCCGGCGAUGGUUCAUUCAAAUUUCUUCCCUAUCAACUUUCGAUGUUUGGGUAUUGGCCAAACAUGGUCGCAACGGGUAACGGAGGGUUAGGGCUCGACCCCGGAGAAGGAGCCUGAGAAACGGCUACUACAUCCAAGGAAGGCAGCAGGCGCGCAAAUUACCCAAUCCCGAUUCGGGGAGGUAGUGACAAUAAAUACUGAUACAGGGCUCUUUUGGGUCUUGUAAUUGGAAUGAGUACAAUUUAAAUCUCUUAACGAGGAACAAUUGGAGGGCAAGUCUGGUGCCAGCAGCCGCGGUAAUUCCAGCUCCAAUAGCGUAUAUUAAAGUUGUUGUGGUUAAAAAGCUCGUAGUUGAACCUUGGGCCUGGCUGGCCGGUCCGCCUCACCGCGUGUACUGGUCCGGCCGGGCCUUUCCCUCUGUGGAACCUCAUGCCCUUCACUGGGUGUGGCGGGGAAACAGGACUUUUACUUUGAAAAAAUUAGAGUGCUCCAGGCAGGCCUAUGCUCGAAUACAUUAGCAUGGAAUAAUGAAAUAGGACGUGUGGUUCUAUUUUGUUGGUUUCUAGGACCGCCGUAAUGAUUAAUAGGGACAGUCGGGGGCAUCAGUAUUCAAUUGUCAGAGGUGAAAUUCUUGGAUUUAUUGAAGACUAACUACUGCGAAAGCAUUUGCCAAGGAUGUUUUCAUUAAUCAGGAACGAAAGUUAGGGGAUCGAAGACGAUCAGAUACCGUCGUAGUCUUAACCAUAACUAUGCCGACUAGGGAUCGGACGAUGUUAUUUUUUGACGCGUUCGGCACCUUACGAGAAAUCAAAGUGCUUGGGCUCAGGGGGAGUAUGGUCGCAGGCUGAAACUAAAGAAUGACGAGGCACCCACCAGGGGUGG
rnacentral:rRNA from 1 species